rnacentral:lncRNA from 1 species
GGGGGAAUAAAACCCAACUUCGCUGGCAACUCCAAUAAAUCUAGUAACUGUUGGCAAAAAAAAAAAAAAUUAGAUUCCGAGGGAGGGCUGGGUCUGGUCCGGAUGAAACGCUAGGGCUCCUUCCCAUGCCGGAGACGGGCGCUGGAAGCCUGCCACUGGCGUUCUGCCACGCGAGUGCCCCCAGACAGGAACACACCCACUGGAAACGCACGUGAACAAAGCUCGCUGCCCGGGAGCCUCCGCCUGCGGUUUCCUCGUGGAUCACAGCUUCUCCAGGGAGGAGAGCAGGGCGCGCACAGGGUUAAGUUAGCUCCCUCCCCGGGAGGAGGGACAGGCGGCGGAGGGGGAAGGCAGCUCUCAGUCUCAGGCUAGGUACCUGCGAGUUAGUUGUACGUUCGAAACCCUUCGCCGUCGCUUGCGAGGGUGGCAUCUUCCAGUCUCACCGCGGAGGAACCGGGGAGCCGGGAGAGCAUUCCAGCGGCCGCGCGGUCCCUGCCCCGGGGGGGUGGUCUUUGGCCUGCGGUCCCGCGCGUCCAGAAGCCAAGACGCGUCAGCUCCGCGCCCGCCGCCGCGUCCACCCAGCCCGGGGAUCGGGUUGGCAGUUCUCAACGAUGGGCAGGAGGGACCUUGGCGGCGACCCCUAAAAUAAUACCAUGCCCCGGGAGCCCCGCUGCUGUGGAGCCAGCUCCUUCCCUUCCCACCUCCCCGACCCUGUCGGAUUCGGAUGAGCGCAGUGCGAGGAGCUGCGGCCGCCAGAUUGCAGAUUGAGCUUAACCAAGAAGCUCGUGGGCUGAUCCACGCUGACCUGCCUGACCACGGAAGAGGUUCUGUCUGCCUGGCUGGGCCCCUCUUGGCUUCACUUGUUGCCUGGGUGGAAAAUUCUUCCUAUUGAAAUAUUUUUGCACAUGGAGGAGAGCAGCAAAGAGGCCAACACAGGCUGAGAAGACCAGAGGCCUCAAGAAUAUUCUGUGACCUUGGCCUUCAGGACAUUUCCUCUAGUUGGAGUUCUGGACUUGAGAACCCUGUUCAAUUAUUUUGGUUUAGCUAUCUGUUUCUAUUUUUUUAUUUUUUUACUUUUCUUUUCCCUACAGCAUUGUGU